ensembl:lncRNA
UUUGUUUGAAGGCUGAGCAGAUGGGGAUAGCUGCUGGGUUUGGAGGAUGUGGAGAAAUUUGGAAAAGUAUUGACCUGGGAGAGCUAAAGAGAGGCUUUUAAGAUCAAGUUACCAUCACCAAAAGUCUCAGCAACAUAGAACUCCAAUUCCUGGUCAAUUCCAUCAUACUUCCUUUGGGCGCAGGAAUCUUACCAUUAUGGAGUCCAGAACAGUGGGAUUUUGGCAUCAUAGGUAUUCCCUGGAGAGAAGUGGUUCCGAGGGAGAGUGACCAAGUCUUCAACUACAAUGCUCUAGCAAUGACAGUCCCCUGCAAUGGCAAUUGGGCACAGCUGAGAAGGGCACCUACCCUACUGCACAGUGACCUGAGAACCCUGAAAAACCUCAUUUGGUGCUUGAUGUUCCUGAUGAAAUCUGAAAGGGAUGUUCUAAUGGAUGCUUAAAUACUUGAGGAAAAAGCCACACUGAAAAGAAUAUGCGAAGUCUUUGUUACUUAUUCACAACUGCCAAGACACUUCCACUGACAGGCAGUUUUGACUUCAACCUUCAGAGGAGUCCAAUUUACAAGCUGGAGCAGCGUGUGCCCACCAUGAUAGGAAGGGAGUGGCAAGAGCCAAGCUGCUGUGUGCCAGGCAAAGGCUGGAAAGAUUGUCCUGUUGCAUUGUAAACCACCGCUGAACCUUCUGAAGAGAUUUCUCAUCUGCACUGUUUUGCUGGCUCCAUUACAAAUCCCGUCUCAAUAACAGGCUAAUGAUCACAGCAUGGUUAAUAGAGGAGCUGGAAGGAGAAACAGAAGUUUUUGCACCCAGAAAUCUUAAUCUGAGACCUACUUAUUUGAUGGGUUCAUCUGAGGACAUAACAAGCUUGACCAACUUUGAAGUCUGGCAGACUGAAAGUAGACCCAGUCAAGUGUGUAAAUACUUUUUGGAAUACGUUAAGUGUAUCUGAUUCUGUGCCUGUCCCUUAUCCCUCCCCCCACCUUAUUUUUGAUUACUACUGUUUUAAAGAGUUUAUAAAGUUCUCAAUUAAGAACACUUCUUUAUGUGAGAUAAAACAUUCGUUGCAGUAACAGUCUCUACGCUCUGCCGCUCACAUGUCCCAUUCUAAGUGCCGCCAAUGUUCAUUAAGGAGGACUGUGAUAACAAUUGUAGUAAUGUGUAUUUUAGAGAAUUUUCUUCAUUUGUCGACAUGCAAUGUGAAUGGAUACGAACAUACUCUAGCCUUGGCCUUUUAGUUCUGAUUUCCAUAUUGUUACAAACAAUUGGAACCGUUUCACUCUGCUGAUAUGAUGCCAGAUGAAUUUCACAACAGAGGAGAGCUAUGAGAUGUCUCAUCUAUGUAACAACAAGCAUUUUUCUCUGUACUGAUGCUGAGGUGAUUUUAAGAGCAUCUUUAUUUAGGAAGAAAGCAACUUAAAGAUUUACAUGUUCAUUUUUGUCUCGGGUUAAUUAAAGAUCAAUGUAAGGGGGAGGAGAACAUUAUGGAGUAUGUGUAGUUUCAGUGGGAUGAGCCUCAAAAAGAUGUCAGUGAUUUAUCCGUUCAUGUGCUUUUGUGUGUGCAUGUAGCAUACGGUACUUAAACAUCUAUUACAGAAAACAGCACACAGGGGAUUUGGGUAAUAGAUCAUUUUAAUGUAUGAAUAGGUUACAUUCCUAACUGCUGGUUGGAUAAGGGUUAGUGCAUAUGGGAAGGGGAAUAAAGUAAGUGGCUGAGAAAAUUUAUAAUAUUGCAAUUCAAGAGAAAUAUUGAUUAGAAGAUGAAGAACUCAAUUUUUAUAAACUUAAUCAACGCUGAUUGUUUGGUACCCAGCUAGUACUCUGCCAAAGAUAAAUAAAAGCUGCAGGCAUGAAGAGGGGGGAGACCAAACCGGCAAUAAUCUGGGGAGAAAACAUUUAAAAACCAAACAGAAAAUACCAGAAACACAAUUAUAAUUUUCUAGAUUAUUGGAUGACUAAUUUUUUUCGUGUUCUUAUUUUGUUUGCACUGCUAUGCAGUGGGUGACUGGAAAUGAUAUUUCCACAAGCAACUGUUGUAUUUAGGAAAACCUGACUUGUGCUUUAAUAUGUCAUAAUUCUGCUAGCGUCCUGUAUUUCCAUAGUAAUCAUCAAAUAAUCAGUUGCACAAAAUAGGAGGAUGCUGAGAUCCAUCUAGAGCCAUGAGUGCCUUGGUCAAAGGUCAGCACCAGGGGAGUUCUGCGCCAUGGUGUGCAGGUGCCACUUGUGUCCCAGCCAUUAAACAUGAAACUAAAAUCAAUCAAUCCUGCUACUGCUUUUCAAGCUGGCAAAUGUUGUCACGUCAG